ACCACAGCAGCUGGGUGAGGGCAGGGCUGGGUGUUCGGAGACUUUCAGAAGCCUAGUCAUGGAGGGCCUGCCCAGGGACCCCCCCGCAACCUCGCCCCCCAGGCCCCGUAGCGGCAGAGACUCACACGCAAAGAACUGCCAGGGCUGGUAGGUGUGGCCAAAGUCCAUGGACCGCUCCAGCACCCAGAGGUCCGGCCGGGGUGAGUUGGCAAACUUGAUGAGGACGUAGGCCACAUGGAAGACCUGCGGGACGCGAGGGCGUCAGGGGAGCCAGGGGCGCCUGGAUUCCCGUGCUCCCAGGGGCCUGGCUCAGUUUCUGCCCCUCAGCAGUUGCGCCCGGGAACAGCAGGUGCUGUUGGCCAGGUAGGACUGGGAGCCUAGGGCCCCAAGGAGGAGAGUGGGGUCCCCCAGAGCUGCACGAGACCUACAGUCACCCCACUGGACUGAGACUGCUGUGGGGUCCCCCAUGAAAAGACCACAGACCCCUCAUAGCUUCAGCCCUUGGGGGCACCAGCUGCCCAGACUCCAGACACGGGCCCUGGACAGCUGUCCUCGAGGGCCUGGUGGCUGCACAGAUGCUCACAGGAAGGGAAGCCCGCACUGGAGGACUCCCAUCUGUCUCUGACCUGGUCGCGGCUCCCAGAGCCACACCGGCCGCCCUCGCCAUGACCCGGAGCGAGCACAGACCCCGGGCUUCAGGACCGCCCCUCCCCCUGCACGCCCGGCUCAGCUCAGCUGCCAGUGCUGACCUUUCCGCUGCUACAUAGUUCUGUGCAGAAAGAAAAAAAAAAAAAUUCUUUUAAAGCAAAAGCCAAACAAAA